GCGUAAGCGAGCGCAGGCGGUUUUUUAAGUCUGAUGUGAAAGCCUUCGGCUCAACCGAAGAAGUGCAUCGGAAACUGGGAAACUUGAGUGCAGAAGAGGACAGUGGAACUCCAUGUGUAGCGGUGAAAUGCGUAGAUAUAUGGAAGAACACCAGUGGCGAAGGCGGCUGUCUGGUCUGUAACUGACGCUGAGGCUCGAAAGUAUGGGUAGCAAACAGGAUUAGAUACCCUGGUAGUCCAUACCGUAAACGAUGAAUGCUAAGUGUUGGAGGGUUUCCGCCCUUCAGUGCUGCAGCUAACGCAUUAAGCAUUCCGCCUGGGGAGUACGGCCGCAAGGCUGAAACUCAAAGGAAUUGACGGGGGCCCGCACAAGCGGUGGAGCAUGUGGUUUAAUUCGAAGCUAC
rnacentral:rRNA from 1 species